rfam:Myotis davidii contig225988, whole genome shotgun sequence.
GGCAGUUCUUGGGUGACACACCCCAGAAUCAGGCUCCCUCCUCUCUGCUUCCAGGUGUGUCACCUGAGAACCGCA